rnacentral:tRNA from 1 species
GGAGAAAUGGCCGAGAGGCUGAAGGCACUCGCCUGCUAAGCGAGUAUACUGGGAAACCGGUAUCUGGGGUUCGAAUCCCCAUUUCUCCGCCA